GCGACAGUGUGGUGUGGUGUAGAU
rnacentral:siRNA from 1 species